CCCCGCGUCGCACGGAUUCGU
rnacentral:rRNA from 3 species